ensembl:rRNA 5S_rRNA 5S ribosomal RNA
CAAUAUGGCCAUGCCACCUAGUACACGCCUGAUCCUGUCUGAUCCUGGAAGCUAAGCAGGGUCAGGCCUGGUUAGUACUUGGAUAUGAGACCACCCAGGAUGACUGGGUGCUGUAGGUA